rnacentral:rRNA from 1 species
AGAGUUUGAUCAUGGCUCAGAAUCAACGCUGGCGGCGUGCCUAACACAUGCAAGUCGAACGCGAAAGGGGAGCAAUCCCUGAGUAGAGUGGCAAACGGGUGAGUAACACGUGGGUGACCUGCCUUCGAGUGGGGGAUAACGUCCCGAAAGGGACGCUAAUACCGCAUGACAUCCUGCCUUUGAAGAGGCGGAGGUCAAAGCUGGGGAUCGCAAGACCUGGCGCUUGAAGAGGGGCCCGCGCCCGAUUAGCUAGUUGGCGGGGUAACGGCCCACCAAGGCGACGAUCGAUAGGGGUCCUGAGAGGGAGGUCCCCCACACUGGUACUGAGACACGGCCCAGACUCCUACGGGAGGCAGCAGUGGGGAAUCUUGCGCAAUGCGCGAAAGCGUGACGCAGCAACGCCGCGUGGGGGAAGACGGCCUUCGGGUUGUAAACCCCUUUCAGUUGGGACGAAGCUUCGCCGGUGAAUAGCCGGCCGGAGUGACGGUACCUUCACAAGA